rnacentral:rRNA from 1 species
AAGUGUCACACGGAACUGCCGGGUCAUAAACCGGAGGAAGGUGGGGAUGACGUCAAGUCAGCAUGGCCUUUAUAUCCUGGGCUACACACACGCUACAAUGGGAAGGGACAAUAGGUUGCGAAGCCGCGAGGCGGAGCCAAUCCAGCAAAACUUCCCUCAGUUCAGAUUGCAGGCUGCAACUCGCCUGCAUGAAGUUGGAGUUGCUAGUAAACGCAGGUCAGCCAUACUGCGUUGAAUGCGUUCCCGGGGCUU